GACAGUGACCCCCACUACAGGCCUGAGGCAAGUAAACCAUCCACCCUCUUCAGCGUACAUUGUAUGAAGCCAAUCUACAUAGUUCUGGUCUUGCUGUAACCUCAGCAGGCUAUUUGCAAAUGAAGCUCAUCUGAUAUGAUGACAAAAUUGACCUCUGAGAUGCGCGACCUCAGUGACCCUGGCUGGCUUCAUUGAUGUCCCCUUGCUGUUUGCCCUUUGCUGUGUGUAAUUGGUCUCUGCCCGGCUCUAAUGGUUCCUGCAUGUGAAUGUGCUUCCUUGCCUGGCCAGAUGAUAAUGACCAGAGGCAAGUAUGACCUUGUCUGGAAGGGAGCAGCCCUCCUCCUGAGAGCCCCGGCUGCAGACCUCUCCCACUGGGCUCUGCUCUCUGUCAAGCCUGGAACCCGCCUGCUCCACGCUGCAGCCACACAGCCACACAGCCCAGCCAAGCAGAGCUGGGAGCUGGGAGUACGACGCCACACAGACAAGACAGAGAACUCUUUCCCAUGGUCUCCCCUAGCCCUCACUAGGUUAUUUAUUUCAUCAUCCUAUGAGUAUUGGACAGAUUCCAACAAUACUAGGAAUGAAUCAAUGAAUGAAUAACAAGCAAUAAGAAAACAGUCCAAAUUGAUUUAAUUAUGCUUACUCUGUCUGAGCUAAAAAUGUUGUUGCCUCUAUUCCUGAUUGGGCUAUUGGACCAAACUGGUGAAAAGUUAAACAAUAAGCCAUAGCUUU